ensembl:lncRNA
GAAAUCCUUUACAUAGUAAUAAUAAUAAUACUUGGUUUUAGAUAUUUAUAUAUAAAGAGAGAGAGUGUACUCUAUAUGUAGAGUUUACAUAUGCUAAUUAGUUUGGAAAUGAAAACUAGCAGCUGAAGAAAGGAAGUCAAUAUGAGUUUGAUCCCUUACAGUCUGCUUGGGUGCAGCUCCAGCACAGGUGAACACGGUAGACACCGUCAGCCAAAGCUGCUGUAAAAUACCCAGGAAUUUUGAGCUUUUAUUACAGAUUAAAAGUCAUACAUCCAAUUGAGUUAGAGGCAAAUAGAUGUUUUGGGUUUUUUUUGGUUCCUAAACAUAUUUUACCUCUCACAUGAGAGACGUCUUUGGAGGUGGUCCUGAGAGUCUUUACUGCUUUCCAUUUAUCUCAGAAGCUGGAUGUCAGAGCUGGGAUUUGCAUCACUCCCAAGUUGAGCGUGUUCCAGUAGUAAAGUCGGAAAAAACGGGAUUGGUGAUCAACGCAUUCAUUCUGAGUUGGAAAUCCGACUUUAGCAGAAAUUCCAUUUUCCAACUUUAACUUGAACAUACUAUCUAACCUACCCUGUCAUCGCAGGUGUUGGUAGGGUAACAUGAGCCAAGAUGUGAAUCAAGAUGUGGUUCGUUGGGGUCACAAGUGUGUCAAGGUGUGAGUGGCCCAGCUGAACUUAAUAAAUUGCAUAAUGGGAGGGUGGGUCAACAACUCUCACGACUAUCUCCAAGGUGAUGACCUCGCUAGGGGCACACUGCUGCCCAUCCCACCAUGGUUGAGUAGCCUAACCCACGUUAUUAACGAUUUACAGCUUAUAUACAGUCAAAUAAAAUUACAAUUAAACUGGUUAUUCAGCGUUAUCACUCAUUAUGUACCAGUUAGGAAAAGUUUUAAUUGUUAUCAAAAUAAAUUAAAAACUUGGAGUUUCUUAACAUUUACUCAAAGCUACAUUAUAGCGUGUUGUAUAUAAUUUUAGCGAUUUAUACACUCAUCAAUCACAUUACAACCUCCUGUCUAAUCAUGUGUAGGUCCUUCUGCUGCCAAAACAGGUCUGACUCAUCAGGGUAUUGACACAGGACCUUUUGGGAUGUCUUGUGUUGUCUGGCAUCAGAACAUUGGCAGCAAAUCCUUUAGAUCCUGUCGGUUGCAGGUUGGAGGUGCCUCGUUACAACACACCCCACAAAGGUCCAGUCGGGGUCUUGAGCUCUUUGUUGUGUUCCUGUAAUUGGUUUUUGUUGAGUUGCAGGGUGCAUUGUUCAGCUGGGAGAGGCUCCUGGCAAUGGUGGGUUGUGAAGGCCAGAGUCCAAUAUUUCCCAGCAGUACACUGAAUUAUAACAAGAUGAUCAGUAUUAUUCGCUUCACCUGUUAGCAGUUUUUAAUGUUGUGGCUGAUAGGUGUACAUAUCAGUGCUAAAUAUGGAGGUUAAAAUGAAGCAUUACCAAAUGAGAAUAUUUAGAAACCUUCUCCAGGCAAAAGCUUAGUGUUAUCGCUUUUAGAACGGCUUUUUAAUAUUGAAACCGCUUACACCGAAACACUUGCGUGGAAUAUCAACAGCAUUUAUAUCGUGCAUAAAUCCAUAUUUCUCUCCGAAAUUAGGAAUGUGGGUGUUAAGCUAUAACCACUUAAUUCAUCACGAUUCAGAACGAAUCGUCUAAAAACGUUGAUGGGUGCCAUGUGUUUCAUCUCAUCUGUACGGCAGCUGUAAAAUAAACAGUCCCGUUACCCAAAGAAGCUGAAAGCCUACCCCACAUUUCCCAGUGUUAAUAGUGAUAGUGGAAAACGUAAUAAUAUUUAGACUGCAUUUCAGAAGGUAUUUCUCUAUUUCUCUUGACAGCCAUAGUGGCACUUGUUUUUCCUGAGCUGCUACUGUUCAUUUGUAAUGCUGUCUGCUUCCCCCAGUUCAUAAAAAUGUUUACAUUGAGAAUGUCUCCUGCUGGUGGUGCUUGAAGCUUCCUUUAUUGCUUCCCGAAUGUAAAUCUAUACUUCAGACUGGAGCCACAAUCAGACUGCAGUCAAAACCCCCCUUUUUUUUCUUGAACAUGUAAUCUUUUCUUGACCAUGUGAAAAUGAAUUGUAAUUUUCUGCAGUUUAGCAAAUAUCAUGCUAUAAAUCCUAUAUACAGUAAUGCAUAAACUGUCAGAGUAAUGGAUUUACUUUGUGCUCAGAGCAGCAAAGGCUGAGGAGAGGAUAUUUCACAUGAGCUCCAACCACCUUUACUCUAUGUUUGACAUUAACAAUUCAUCUUUGAAGUUGUACUACAAUGUUAUAUAUCUCAAAACAGCUACUGUUGUGUCCAAACUGUGUAUAGUGAUUUUGUAUAUAAAGAGUUAAACAAAAA